UGAAAUAUGGGAUAUGGGGACUGUGUUCAACGGGCUCACCCUGUUCGGAGCGGGUGUGAUCUGUGCAUUCACCUUCCCCGUGCUCUACCGGCGCCACCAGGCCCAGAUCGACCAGUACCUGAGUCUGGCCAGGAGCCACCUGAGCCACCUUCGAGCCAGGUGAGGGUGUGU